rnacentral:rRNA from 1 species
UACGGGGGGGGCAAGCGUUGUUCGGAAUUACUGGGCGUAAAGGGUUCGUAGGUGGCCUACUAAGUCAGACGUGAAAUCCCUCAGCUUAACUGGGGAACUGCGUCUGAUACUGGGGGGCUUGAGUGCAGGAGAGGAACGCGGAAUUCGAGGUGUAGCGGUGAAAUGCGUAGAUAUCUGGAGGAACACCGGUGGCGAAGGCGGCGUUCUGGACUGCAACUGACACUGAUGAACGAAAGCCAGGGGAGCAAACGGG